CCUACGGGAGGCAGCAGUGGGGAAUAUUGGGCAAUGGGCGCAAGCCUGACCCAGCAACGCCGCGUGAAGGAAGAAGGCCCUCGGGUUGUAAACUUCUUUUGUCAGGGACGAAACAAAUGACGGUACCUGACGAAUAAGCCACGGCUAACUACGUGCCAGCAGCCGCGGUAAUCCGGAGGUGGCAAGCGUUAUCCGGAUUUACUGGGUGUAAAGGGCGUGUAGGCGGGAGAGCAAGUCAGAUGUGAAAUUCAAGGGCGCAUCCCUGGAACUGCAUUUGAAACUGUUUUUCUUGAGUGAGGGAGAGGCAUGCGGAAUGCCGUGUGUAGCGGUGAAAUGCGUAGAUAUACGGAGGAACACCAGUGGCGAAGGCGGCCUGCUGGACGUUAACUGACGCUGAGGCGCGAAAGCGUGGGGAGCAAACAGGAUUAGAUACCCUAGUAGUC
rnacentral:rRNA from 1 species